AUCCUUUUCGGGUUCAUUUGUGAUGAUUGGGUUCUCACGUGCUUGUGUGACAUGUGCCUCCCUCUAAACCUUGUUACAAUGUGGUCACAUUACCUGUCUGAUG